rnacentral:lncRNA from 10 species
CUAAUUUUGAAUUUUUAGUAGAAACAGGGUUUCUCCGUGUUGGUCAGGCUGGUCUCAAACUCCCGACCUCAGGUGAUCCACCUGCCUCGGCCUCCCAAAGUGCUGGGAUUACAGGCAUGAGCCACCACACCUGGCCUAAAACCCUGGACCUUAUUUAAACUUUCUGUUUUGCUGGCUUUCUGUGGCAAUGCUCCAACAGGGGAAAAAGAGGGGCACUACUUAUUACUGAUUGGUGGGGGCAGAAGUCCAAGUUCUCUGCAUGAUGUCCAAUGACACUAUGAGAAUGGGGAGAGGCAGGAGGCUCAUUACUCACUAUCGUGGAAGUCCCAGCUCCCAACUCAGUCCUCUCUGACACCACCCCAGUCGGGGUUUAGGGCUCAUUGCAGCCUUGCAAGAGUGAAGUCUGGGCAUCCUAUCUGGCCUUUAUUUGUGUUGGGCGGUGGGGUGGGGGUUGGGGGGCAAAGUUUUUUCUGUGCUGUUUGCCUGGAAUACAGCAGUCAUUGUCUAAAAGUAUCCUGUUUUGCUAAUCUGCCCUUUUCCUGGUCCUUUAGCUAGAGAGAGCAGGCUUUUGUUGGGGCUUUUUUUUUUGUUUUUUUUUUUUCCUGUGCCUGGGUUUCUGCCUUCUUCAGCUCCAAGACAGGGAUAUAUGAGAGAAGAAGAUAACCCAGCGAACUCACCGCUGUUUUUUCCUUAGCCCGUCAUGUCCCCAGCUGGUCUGCCUUCUUCUCCAUCUUUCAGAGUCUUCUUAUAUUUGUUUUGUAGAUAAUGUGCAUGGUCUUUAGUUGUACUUAGAGGGUGGAAAAGUGGAUGACUUAGGGAAAAGUGGAUGACUCUAUCUUCCUGGAAGCAGAAGUCCUAGUGAGUAAUUUUUGUCCCAUUAUUUAUUUUAUGAUUAUAAAAGAUAUACCUAUUCUUCAGAGAAAACUUAAAAAUUGUAGAGAACAUUUUUAAAAAUCAUCUAUGAUUCCUAUGUUCACUGCUAGCAUUUUCUUUUAUUUCUAGUUUUUAAAAAUUCAUGUAUAAAUUGUAGAUCUCUUUUCCUAAAACUAAGGAUUACUGGCAAUUUUCAUUUGUAUAUUAUAUUAACAUAUAACAUACUAUGAGUAUUUUUCUUACAAAUAUUCUCUGAAAACAUAGUUUUGGUAACUGCGUACUAUUACCAUUAUGACUAGAUGAGAAGAAAAGUAACCAGAGAGGUACAUGUAAAGGAACCAAGAUUUUUCUAGCCUGGAGCCUUGCUGUGGCCUUGAAGAGGGCGGACACCACCUAGCCUUGGAGCACUACCUGAAUCCUUGCUUCCCCUGAUUAAAAAAAGAAGAAAGAAAGAAAGAAAGAAAGAAGAAAGAAAGAAAGAAAGAAAGAAAGAAAGAAAGAAAGAAAGAAAGAAAGAAAGAAAGAAAAAGCAGGUCCUAUAUUUGUAACUAACCUGGCAGAAGGAGUCACAGUACUGUGAGAAGGGGAGGGUGAUACUGCCUUUGCACCACCAAGAAACCUGAAGAUCUGUUUCAUAAAGCAGUUAUAACCUGUGACAAAUUCUUAAUAUUAGCCUCACUUCCCCAUUCUUUUGAAACGCACUUGAAAAGGGGGUUAGGGAGUAGUGGAGGGAUCCCGGGAUUUGGGUUAGAGUUCUCUCUUCUACUCCUACAGGGACAAGACACAGAUCCCUUCUGAGCUCCGAGUUUUACCUUUACAAGGAGAAGGCUGGCUGAGAUGCCUCUGGGGCUGCCUCCAGCUUCAGGGACCUGUUGUCCUGCUGUGGUUAGAAGAACCCAGCAGCCCACACCAUUGCUGUGUGGCUCCACAAAGCCACACGGCCUCCUCCAUGCCCUGGUCCACAGGGCCUCACCCACAGAGCCCAUACCUGCUCUCACCUCUAACCCCAGGGCACAUCAAACCUACCUGUUGACAAAAUUACAACCCAUUUAGCUGUAGGUCUCAUUGGCUUUUAUGCAUGAUUCAUGAACCAGGGCAGCCUCCCUUCUAUUAAACAGAAUGAGAGAUCUCACUGGGCAAGAGCAGAACAGUGGGUUUGGUAAGGUGGGAACAGGGAAACAAGAAAAAAGCUGACUGGUUAGCAUGAGGAUACUUGUUUUGGAAGGUUUGGAGAACGUAACUUCCUUAUUAUGCUGACUCAGUAGACUGGAAUCUCCUGUUUUCAGGAAAAACUGGUCUGUUUUGGGCCCUAUUUGCUUCCUUCAAGUUUCAGUUUGAUGAUGUGACAUUUGGCAUGAGUGAUUCCAUUUUGAUUUGGCCUGGUCUGUUGGGGCCUAGGGCAGGAGUUCAGUCUGAAGCGGUGGACUCUCAUCAUCUUUGUUUAAUGCCAGGUUUCUCUAACCCAUUUUCAGAGGUGGAAUCACAGCCUUUGAAGGGACCAGAGGGGUACUGGGUGAUCUUGGAGCACAGGAAGCAUAUUCCUGGUGUCUCAGGGCCCGGUGACUUUCAUGGAGCCCUCCGGGCCCCAGUGGGCUGCGCACUGAUGGAUGAAGUGUUUCUGACAGGGCCCACGUCCAGUCAGUGCAUUCGCAGCUCCCACCGCCGCAGGGCCUGGGUCCCGGCCUCUGGCCAGUGUGCCUGUGCGUGACACAUUGCAGCCGCGUUUUCCAAGUGAGUUCAGUGGUACUGACAGGAUCCACAUUUCCAGUCCGCAGCCAGCCACACACACAAUAUUAUCUGUGAAUGGAAACCGUCACUGUAGAUUUCUGCUUGGGUUUUGGCAGCUGCCCCUGAUGGGAGAGUGCAUGUCACAGACCUAACUGAAGUCAGAGUCCCCUCUGCACAGACAGCAGGGCUUGGACAGACCAUGAGUAAUGAGCCACGUUCUCAAAGCUCCCGGGAGUCUGCACUUCCUGCAGAGAGACAUUCUGGUGAGGAAUCAGCAACGCUUUCCAUGGGGGCAGUUUUACCAAGCCUGUCAUGGAGACAGGGCUGUGUAGGCUGGACUAGAAGGGUGCUGGGAUUGUGGAAGUGUCUGGAUGGUUCUGGAAAAAUCUAGUAGCCAUAUAAAAGGAAAAAAAAAAAAAGGUAGGGUGUGGGAGUGGCAAUGUGGAAUUUCUUGGAAAUAAAGAGAAAGAAAAUAACAAGCCUGUUCUCUUGGCCUUGACCUCUCGCUGUACCCCAGGCUACCGACUAGACUGCUCCACCGGCUCUCUGAUGUCACCUCAGACUCAACUUAUCCAAAACUGAGGUCAUCCUCCCCCAGACUGGCUCCUUGUCCUAAUUCUGUCAGCAAAACCACAUUUCCAGACACCCAGAGCCUGCCUUUGGGGAAGCCUUUGGUUUUUUUUUCCUUCCUAUUGAAUCUGUCCCCAGCCCUGUUGGUGAUUAUUGGUCUCCGGGUGUCUCUUUCUCUGACCUUUCCGAGUCAUGAUUUCAAAGUCAUUGCUCACAAAAGUGAACAGAAUUAAAGUAACCAUAAAAGAAAAGGAAUUUCAAAAAGGAGAACUAAACCCAAAAUUGGAAUAAACUGGAGGAUGCCCCAUUGCUUCAUCCUGCAGACACCAGCCCAGCCCAGGACAGCACCUACACGUCAGCGCCGGUGCCUCCUGAGCCACGGCUGAGCCAAAGCCCACAGUCCACAUCGUCUCUCAGGCUUGGAGCCCGCCUGCAGCCUGCCACGUCGAGUCCCAUGUUUUGUGGCCACCUUCUGUGCACAAGCCCCUGACCCAACCUUUCCUGCCGUUCACCAUGCCUCAUUAUUAUGCUCUCCUCCAUCCUCCCACCUGCCUCCUGAAAUGCCCUUCCUUUGAGCUGAACUCUGUGAGUCUCUCAAAGCCCAGCUCAGCUGUGCAACUUCCGACUCGUGUGGCUCUUCCUGACUUGCUCCUGCUCUGAGAGUCUGUCGCACCCACAGCAAGGACAUGGCCAUGGUUACAAGCUCAGGCCCCAGAACCAGAAGUCACCUGUAUGCAGUAGCUGUGCGGUUUGGGCCAAGUCACUUAACACUUCAGAGCCUUCAUUGUCUUAUCUGUAAAAUGGGACUAAUCAUAGUCCCCCAGACUUGUAAGGCUGUAGAGAGAAUUGAAUAGGAUAUUGCUCACAAUGUGCUUAGUAUAGUGCCUGGCAAUGAAUUAAGAAUCAUUCAACAAAUUCUUGUUGUUGCUCUACUACUUUUUCUUAUUCUCCCAUUUGAGCUUUUUCCUAUUUGUCUGCUUUAAUUUGUCUGCUUAAUUACAUUAAGGCC